GAUGAACGCUGGCGGCGUGCUUAACACAUGCAAGUCGAACGAAGCACUUUAUUUGAUUUCCUUCGGGACUGAUUAUUUUGUGACUGAGUGGCGGACGGGUGAGUAACGCGUGGGUAACCUGCCUUGUACAGGGGGAUAACAGUUGGAAACGGCUGCUAAUACCGCAUAAGCGCACGGCAUCGCAUGAUGCAGUGUGAAAAACUCCGGUGGUAUAAGAUGGACCCGCGUUGGAUUAGCUAGUUGGUGAGGUAACGGCCCACCAAGGCGACGAUCCAUAGCCGACCUGAGAGGGUGACCGGCCACAUUGGGACUGAGACACGGCCCAAACUCCUACGGGAGGCAGCAGUGGGGAAUAUUGCACAAUGGGCGAAAGCCUGAUGCAGCGACGCCGCGUGAGCGAAGAAGUAUUUCGGUAUGUAAAGCUCUAUCAGCAGGGAAGAUAAUGACGGUACCUGACUAAGAAGCACCGGCUAAAUA
rnacentral:rRNA from 1 species